AUCUUGGCUCAGAACGAACGCUGGCGGCGCGUUUAAGCAUGCAAGUCGUGGGGUAGAAUGCCUUCGGGCAUUUGAGACCGGCGGACGGGUGAGUAACACGUAGGUAAUUUACCUGAGGGUUGGGGAUAGCCCAUGGAAACAUGGGGUAAUACCGAAGAUACGCCUUGUUUCACACAAGUGAGAUAAGGGAAAGGUGCUUAGGCACCGCCCCCGGAUGAGCCUGCGUCUCAUUAGUUAGUUGGUGGGGUAACGGCCUACCAAGGCAACGAUGAGUAGCCGGCCUGAGAGGGUGAACGGCCACACUGGGACUGAGACACGGCCCAGACUCCUACGGGAGGCAGCAGCUAAGAAUCUUCCGCAAUGGACGAAAGUCUGACGGAGCGACGCCGCGUGUGUGAUGAAGGCGGAAACGUUGUAAAGCACUUUUCCUGGGGAAGAAUAAGGUGAGGAGGUAAUGCCUCAUCGAUGACACGAACUAGGGAAUAAGCCCCGGCUAAUUACGUGCCAGCAGCCGCGGUAACACGUAAGGGGCGAGCGUUGUUCGGAAUUAUUGGGCGUAAAGGGCGUGUAGGCGGCCUGGUAAGUCUGGUGUGAAAGACCGCAGCUUAACUGCGGGACCGCGCUGGAAACUAUUAGGCUAGAGUCUAAGAGGGGGAACUAGAAUUCCAGGUGUAGGGGUGAAAUCUGUAGAUAUCUGGAAGAAUACCGGAGGCGAAGGCGAGUUCCUGGCUAUAGACUGACGCUGAGGCGCGAAAGCGUGGGGAGCGAACAGGAUUAGAUACCCUGGUAGUCCACGCCGUAAACGUUGUGCACUAGGUGUUGGCCUUGAGGGGUCAGUACCGUAGCAAACGCGAUAAGUGCACCGCCUGGGGAGUAUGCUCGCAAGGGUGAAA
rnacentral:rRNA from 1 species